AGUGAACGCUGGCGGUAGGCCUAACACAUGCAAGUCGAACGGCAGCACAGUAAGAGCUUGCUCUUACGGGUGGCGAGUGGCGGACGGGUGAGGAAUACAUCGGAAUCUACUUUUUCGUGGGGGAUAACGUAGGGAAACUUACGCUAAUACCGCAUACGACCUACGGGUGAAAGCAGGGGAUCUUCGGACCUUGCGCGGUUGAAUGAGCCGAUGUCGGAUUAGCUAGUUGGCGGGGUAAAGGCCCACCAAGGCGACGAUCCGUAGCUGGUCUGAGAGGAUGAUCAGCCACACUGGAACUGAGACACGGUCCAGACUCCUACGGGAGGCAGCAGUGGGGAAUAUUGGACAAUGGGCGCAAGCCUGAUCCAGCCAUACCGCGUGGGUGAAGAAGGCCUUCGGGUUGUAAAGCCCUUUUGUUGGGAAAGAAGAGCAGCAGGUUAAUACCCCGCUGUUCUGACGGUACCCAAAGAAUAAGCACCGGCUAACUUCGUG
rnacentral:rRNA from 1 species